rnacentral:rRNA from 1 species
CCAAACCCCCCCCUGUGCAAGGGGUACCCCCAGGGGCCCCGAAAAAAGGGGGUUUUUCGGUGGUCUAAACCCCUUAGGGAAUAAGAGGGGGGCAAGAUGGGUGUCAGCUGCCCCGGUAACACCAGCCCCUCGAGUGGUGGGGAUGAUUAUUUGGCCUAAAGCGUCCGUAGCGGCCUUGUAAGUCUCCCGUUAAAUCCAGCGUCUCAAGCGUUGGACUGCGGGAGAUACUGCUCGGCUAGAGAGUGGGAGAGGUGUGCGGUAUUCUGGGGGUAGGGGCGAAAUCCUUUGAUCCCCGGAGGACCACCAGUGGCGAAGGCUGCACACUAGAACACGUCUGACGGUCAGGGACGAAAGCUGGGGUAGCGAACCGGAUUAGAUACCCGGGUAGUCCCAGCCGUAAACGAUGCAUGCUAGGUGUUGGGUCGGCCAUGAGCCGCCUCAGUGCCGCAGGGAAGCCGUUAAGCAUGCCGCCUGGGGAGUACGGCCGCAAGGCUGAAACUUAAAGGAAUUGGCGGGGGAG